UCGCGAAAACUUUGCAAUAGGCGAAAGCCUGACAGGGCUAUCCCGAGUGCCAUCCGCUGAGGAAGGCUUUUACCCAGUCUAGAACGCUGGGGGAAUAAGGAGAGGGCAAGUCUGGUGUCAGCCGCCGCGGUAAUACCAGCUCUCCGAGUGGUGUGGAUGUUUAUUGGGCCUAAAGCAUCCGUAGCUGGCUAAGUUAGUCCCUUGUUAAAUCCACCGAAUUAAUCGUUGGAUCGCGGGGGAUACUGCUUGGCUAGGGGACGAGAGAGGCAGACGGUAUUUUCGGGGUAGGGGUGAAAUCCUAUAAUCCCGGGAAGACCACCAGUGGCGAAGGCUGUCUGCUAGAACGCGCCCGACGGUGAGGGAUGAAAGCUGGGGGA
rnacentral:rRNA from 1 species